UGGGCUCCACCGCCGUGCAUGUCUUCAUCCUCAUCAUAUGCUUCCUGACGCUGAGCCUGCUUCCUUCUCAUUUCGUCCUCAAUGUUAACAUCAUGCAGAGUCGUCUCCUCACACUCAUCCAGCUCCAUGUCGGUCAGUUGUGAUCGAGGCUUCGGGGGGAGCACCUUCGCCAGGCCCUGGACUUGAUCCGGACUUAACGAAUCAGGAAACUCAACAUUGAAAUGAAUAUACAGUUUGCCCUUCAUGAAUGACCUCCGAUAUAUGGGCAUUCCUUCAUCAUUGAUCGCCUUGUAAGAAUCUGCGGAAUCACAACAUACAAAGAUGAGUACAAUUCGAUCAUGAUUGUUCAAUUACUGCCAAGAUGGAAAAAAAAAAAUCGAAAAAAAGGACAGAAAAUUGACCAGGCUUCAGGACUUCUCCAGGGUGUGACUUGAUAAGGAGCUGUCUGCCAUCCAAAUGUGUCAGUAUAUACUGGAAGCCACACAGUGCCUCAGUGAGUGACAGCGUGCGCUCGACAAAAAGAUCAUCACCCUUUCUAUUAAAUUUAGGGUGUUCCUUCUGCUGAAGCAC
rnacentral:lncRNA from 1 species